rnacentral:ribozyme from 11 species
AAGACAGAAGCACAGACGGACGAUGAAACAGACAAACAGAUACUGUCAGACAGACUGUAUAGUUUUCUUCUCUCUGUUUUUUUUUUCUUCUUCUUCUCUUUCCUUUUCAGUGACUGUGAUCAGAAAGACAGCUAGA